CCCUUAGAUGGCCUGGGCUGCACGCGGGCUACAAUGGUAUAUUCAGCGUGAGUUGUUUACCGAAAGGUAGAUCAAAUCUUCAAAUUAUACCGUACUUGGGAUUGGACAUUGCAAUUGUUAUCCAUGAACGAGGAAUUCCUAGUAAGUGCAUGUCAUUAGCGUGCGCUGAUUACGUCCCUGCCCUUUGUACACACCGCCCGUCGCUCCUACCGAUUGGGUGCUGGGGUGAACAUUGUGGAGAUUUGAGCUUCGGCUUGGUCAAAGCAAUGUGAAUCUUGCCGCCUAGAGGAAGGAGAAGUCGUAACA
rnacentral:rRNA from 1 species